rnacentral:rRNA from 1 species
CCUACGGGGAGCAGCAGUCGAGAAUCAUUCACAAUGGGGGAAACCCUGAUGGUGCGACGCCGCGUGGGGGAAUGAAGGUCUUCGGAUUGUAAACCCCUGUCAUGUGGGAGCAAAUUAAAAAGAUAGUACCACAAGAGGAAGAGACGGCUAACUCUGUGCCAGCAGCCGCGGUAAUACAGAGGUCUCAAGCGUUGUUCGGAAUCACUGGGCUUAAAGCGUGCGUAGGCUGUUUCGUAAGUCGUGUGUGAAAGGCGCGGGCUCAACCCGCGGACGGCACAUGAUACUGCGAGACUAGAGUAAUGGAGGGGGAACCGGAAUUCUCGGUGUAGCAGUGAAAUGCGUAGAUAUCGAGAGGAACACUCGUGGCGAAGGCGGGUUCCUGGACAUUAACUGACGCUGAGGCACGAAGGCCAGGGGAGCGAAAGGGAUUAGAUACCCGAGUAGUC